CCUACGGGUGGCAGCAGUGAGGAAUAUUGGUCAAUGGGCGCGAGCCUGAACCAGCCAAGUAGCGUGAAGGAUGACUGCCCUACGGGUUGUAAACUUCUUUUAUAAAGGAAUAAAGUGAGGCACGUGUGCCUUUUUGUAUGUACUUUAUGAAUAAGGAUCGGCUAACUCCGUGCCAGCCGCCGCGGGAAUACGGAGGAUCCGAGCGUUAUCCGGAUUUAUUGGGUUUAAAGGGAGCGUAGAUGGGUUGUUAAGUCAGUUGUGAAAGUUGGCGGUUCAACCGUAAAAUUGCAAUUGAUACUGGCAGCCUUGAGUACAGUUGAGGUAGGCGGAAUUCGUGGUGUAGCGGUGAAAUGCUGAGAUAUCACGAAGAACUCCGAUUGCGAAGGCAGCCUACUAAACUGCCACUGACAUUGAUGCUCGAAAGUGUGGGUAUCAAACAGGAUUAGAUACCCCUGUAGUC
rnacentral:rRNA from 1 species